AACUGCAGCCAUAUCACCCUGCAGCCCAAGACUGGUUGCCCACUGAAGCUAAGCAGGGCUGAGCCUGGUCAGUACCUGGAUGGGAGACCUCCUGGGAAAACUAGGUUGCUGCUGGAA
rnacentral:rRNA from 1 species